AUCUUUUGUCAGCAAGUGAUUCUAUUCCUAGUUGCAGAAAAAACACAUUACCUUGACAUAGCCUCCAACAAAAGAACUUAUAAUACAUAAACACACACUCAAACUUGGGCUUAGCUGACAAGUAAGCACUCCAACUUUGAGAAUGCACAUCUAGACACUUCAACUCGUCUGUACUGUGUGUCAGUUGAACACUCUAGAUUAUAAAAUGAUUAUCCAGACACCUCCAAAAUUUAUGUGCCACGUCAGCGUCGAGUGUCCACGAGACACAGUGGGGAUGAGUUGGAAUGUUAAGUGUCAGUUGAGACCAAGAUGAGGUGUUAAGAUGUGCACUCUUAAAGUUGGAGUGAUGUGCUUACUUUCUAGUUGAUCCCAAGUUUGAGUGUCUGUUUAUAUAUUAUGCCUAAGAAGAGUUAACUUCUUUCUUUAUCCCUACAUUAUAAGAUAAAAAAUAACUUCUUUCUUUACUGGUGUGAAUUUAUGCUUGAGGACUGAAAGUAUAUGCUCUACAUCUCUUUACUUUUGACCUUUUUGUUUACUCUCAACAGGCACGGGAUACGGAAGGGGCAGAGGCGGAGGCUGGGGUGGUGGCAGAGGUUAUAGUCGUGGACGAGGCCGGAUGGGUGGUCGAGGAGGAAGGGGUGGUGGAAACCAGUAUAGGCAAGAAGAGUUUGCUGUCAGAGCUUGAUAGGAAGAAAUAUUGCACAACCUUUGGCAUAGUGUGAAACUCUUUUGAGUGAAUUUUCAUGCAGUUUUGUUUGAUGUUUCUUGGCAAAAGGUUUUGUUACUUUGGUUGGUUUCUUUUGCUUAGUUGGAGAGCCAUUUUUUUUUUUUUGUUCUUGUUUUCAGUUGAGACCAAGAUGAGGUGUUAAGAUGUGCACUCUUAAAGUUGGAGUGAUGUGCUUACUUUCUAGUUGAUCCCAAGUUUGAGUGUCUGUUUAUAUAUUAUGCCUAAGAAGAGUUAACUUCUUUCUUUAUCCCUACAUUAUAAGAUAAAAAAUAACUUCUUUCUUUACUGGUGUGAAUUUAUGCUUGAGGACUGAAAGUAUAUGCUCUACAUCUCUUUACUUUUGACCUUUUUGUUUACUCUCAACAGGCACGGGAUACGGAAGGGGCAGAGGCGGAGGCUGGGGUGGUGGCAGAGGUUAUAGUCGUGGACGAGGCCGGAUGGGUGGUCGAGGAGGAAGGGGUGGUGGAAACCAGUAUAGGCAAGAAGAGUUUGCUGUCAGAGCUUGAUAGGAAGAAAUAUUGCACAACCUUUGGCAUAGUGUGAAACUCUUUUGAGUGAAUUUUCAUGCAGUUUUGUUUGAUGUUUCUUGGCAAAAGGUUUUGUUACUUUGGUUGGUUUCUUUUGCUUAGUUGGAGAGCCAUUUUUUUUUUUUGGUUCUUGUUUUCUCAUAUGA
rnacentral:lncRNA from 1 species